CUUGCCUACAUAAGAGGUCCAGCCUGCCCAGUGACCCAGUUCAACGGCCGCGGUAUCCUAACCGUGCGAAGGUAGCGUAAUCACUUGUCUUCUAAAUAAAGACUAGUAUGAAAGGCAUCACGAGAACUAAACUGUCUCCCCCUUCCAAUCAGUGAACCUAAUCUUCCCGUGAAGAAGCGGGAAUUUUUUAAUAAGACGAGAAGACCCUAUGGAGCUUUAAACACAUAACACCUGCCCCCAAGCACUCUAUGUUUCCCGGCAUGAUGAUUAUAAGUUUUCGGUUGGGGUGACCACGGAGAAAACCCACCCUCCGCGAUGAAAACAAAAAGCUACAGCUUUAUGUAUCAGCAAACUGACACAAUUGACCCAAUUUAUUGAUCAACGAAC
rnacentral:rRNA from 1 species